AUUCGGAGGGUGCGAGCGUUAAUCGGAAUUACUGGGCGUAAAGCGCAUGCAGGCGGCCUGUUAAGUCAGAUGUGAAAGCCCGGGGCUUAACCUCGGAAUUGCAUUUGAAACUGGCAGGCUAGAGUCUUGUAGAGGGGGGUAGAAUUUCAGGUGUAGCGGUGAAAUGCGUAGAGAUCUGAAGGAAUACCAGUGGCGAAGGCGGCCCCCUGGACAAAGACUGACGCUCAGAUGCGAAAGCGUGGGGAGCAAACAGGAUUAGAUACCCUGGUAGUCCACGCCGUAAACGAUGUCUACUUGGAGGUUGUGGCCUUGAGCCGUGGCUUUCGGAGCUAACGCGUUAAGUAGACCGCCUGGGGAGUACGGUCGCAAGAUUAAAACUCAAAUGAAUUGACGGGGGCCCGCACAAGCGGUGGAGCAUGUGGUUUAAUUCGAUGCAACGCGAAGAACCUUACCUACUCUUGACAUCCAGAGAAGCUUGAAGAGAUUCGAGUGUGCCUUCGGGAACUCUGAGACAGGUGCUGCAUGGCUGUCGUCAGCUCGUGUUGUGAAAUGUUGGGUUAAGUCCCGCAACGAGCGCAACCCUUAUCCUUGUUUGCCAGCACUUCGGGUGGGAACUCCAGGGAGACUGCCGGUGAUAAACCGGAGGAAGGUGGGGACGACGUCAAGUCAUCAUGGCCCUUACGAGUAGGGCUACACACGUGCUACAAUGGCAUAUACAGAGGGCAGCAAGACCGCGAGGUGGAGCGAAUCCCAGAAAGUAUGUCGUAGUCCGGAUCGGAGUCUGCAACUCGACUCCGUGAAGUCGGAAUCGCUAGUAAUCGUGGAUCAGAAUGCCACGGUGAAUACGUUCCCGGGCCUUGUACACACCGCCCGUCACACCAUGCGAGUGAGCUGCAAGCUUGAAGAUCGAUGUACGCAGUAAGUCGUAACAAGGUAGCCCGUUAGAUGACCCCCCCCCUUU
rnacentral:rRNA from 1 species